ACGCUCGACACCUACGGAAGGCAGCAGUGGGGAAUAUUGCACAAUAGGGGAAACCCUGAUGCAGCAACGCCGCGUGAGUGAAGAAGUAUUUCGGUAUGUAAAGCUCUAUCAGCAGGGAAGAUAAUGACGGUACCUGACUAAGAAGCUCCGGCUAAAUACGUACCAGCAGCCGCGGUAAUCUGAGCGGGCUGGCAAGGC
rnacentral:rRNA from 1 species